UUCUCUCUCUUUCUAUCUCUCUCUCACCCCUUUUCUAUUACGAUAAACCCUAGAUUUAUCAGUUAGUUGCCAAAUUUUUUGUGUACAAAACUUAGACCAGGAUUAUCGGAGAUCCUUAAGUGGGUUUAUAGAGAAAAUGGCUGAUUUUAUUAAAUAUAAACUAAUUAAAAAGAGAGUAACCGAUCCUUAAUCUGAUACUUUGGUGAUCGAUUUAAAGAGGAGUUACUAGGGCACGUGUCAGAACAUCAGAAUUUUUCUAUUUUUUUUUCUUUUUUCUCUCUUUCUUUACUUCUUUUCUUCUUGUUUUCUCCCUCUGUUGGCGUCUCGGCUCCUCUCGUCUUCUACGAUCGCGAGACCUCUCUUCCGGCGGCGAGUUAAUCAGAUACCUCCUGCGAGUUAAUAAGAUACUUCCUCUCUUUCGCGAGACCACUCUUCCCCCAAGAGAAGCCUCUCUUUUGGUAUAAUUUCCUCAUCAGAACCUCUGUUUUCGCCAUUACCAUUGCCAAAUCAGAUCCUGAACACGAUGAGGAAGCGUCAUCCCAAGGCGGCUUAAGAUUCGUCGUCAGAGCCAUCAUCUUCCACUCAACAACAAUGUCCUUGAUAAGAAGGUGGUUAAUGUAAGAAGAUCGGGGAAAACAUGGUUCUCAGAGAGAGAAACACAAAUAUUGCAUAUACGGAAGCGAGAGAGAUGAUACUUGAGUUGAAAGAGAGAGCCAUGAAGCCUGGUAUCAGAGAGAGAAACACAAAGGUUUAUAUGGGAGUAGAGUUGUGGUGGCCAUUGGUUGGUGCUGGUUUGGUUGCAGCGGCCGCGUUCGUCUGCUACUCCAAGCUAAGGUGAUUUUUUUGAUUAAUACUUUGUUAUUGGAUGAGGAAUAACUGAUGACCAAGUUCUUAAGAUUGAUUUCAAGAAUGGAUUGUUAUACAGGUUGACUGUAACUUUGUUUUGGGUUUAUGAUGUUUUUGUUGUUGAUUGGGAAAACUUCAGUUUUUGGUUAUGCCACGAAUGAAUUUCAUAACUGUGCUUUAUCACUUCUACUUGUCUCUCCUUUUUUUUUGGUUGAAGUCUUUCUCCUUUUCAAUUCACUGGAUUUCAGAGAGAAACAUGUUUUGCUUGACCAGUGCUUCUUCAUCUCAAGUCCAUGAGAAAAAAAAAACUUAAUAUAUUUGAAACGGUUUUGAAAGUGGUUCUUGGAAGAACAUAUCAAAGGUCUGACUGCAAGAAAUGAAGCAACUCAUUGUAGAUAAGUAAGAUUACAUCAAGACCAAGAAUCUUCAUAUCUGUGUUUUCCUAAAAGCCAUGGCGCAAGUUGCAUCCUUUUGAAGUGAUCUCAAAUGUUGUCUUUUUGGUAUAUAGUGACAAAAUUAGAAUGAAUAUGUUAGAGUUCUUCUCGAGUGUGGUUUGUGUAAAGUGUUUGUUUUUAACUGUGGUUUGAAUAUGUUAAUCUGAGAGGAGGAGGCUUUGGCAAUCAAGGCAGCAGGGAAGGCGUGGUAGCAGACUAUGAUCUCCGACAGUGACUACACCGAGUUUGAGAGUUGAGAUGCAACUAAAUUGACCAGACUGGAAUGUGAUUGAUGCUGCAAAGUGAAAAUUUAUAUGAGCCGAGUAAUAUUUUAACUUUAUAUGAGCCUGAGUAAUAUUCUACAUUUUCUCAGAAUAAUUACGUUGUUGUAAUGAUAGCAAAUAAAAAAUCGACCAUAGAUUGAUUUUGGACACCUUCCACCAAAUAAAAAAGUAAACACUACAACAAUUAAAGAUACAUUCCGAUGAAAAAAAUAAAGAUACAUUCCACCAAAAGGCAAAUCACAAAAAUGAUCAUGAGACUUACAAACUUAGUAAUAACAUAUAUAAGAUGACCGAAACAAAAAAAAAAUUCCACAAAAUAAACUAAUACUAAAAAGCCUAAAUUAUAAUGCCAAGACAUACCUUUUAUAGUCUUUCAUCUUGGUGAUUCACAAAGAAAAUUCUUAA